UACGUAGGGUGCGAGCGUUAAUCGGAAUUACUGGGCGUAAAGCGUGCGCAGGCGGUUGUGCAAGACAGAUGUGAAAUCCCCGGGCUUAACCUGGGAAUUGCAUUUGUGACUGCACGGCUAGAGUGUGUCAGAGGGGGGGUAGAAUUCCACGUGUAGCAGUGAAAUGCGUAGAGAUGUGGAGGAAUACCGAUGGCGAAGGCAGCCCCCCUGGGAUAACACUGACGCUCAUGCACGAAAGCGUGGGGAGCAACAGG
rnacentral:rRNA from 1 species